rnacentral:tRNA from 1 species
GCCUGGGUGGCUUAGUCGGUUGAGCGUCCGACUUCGGCCCAGGUCAUGAUCUCACGAUUCGUGGGUUCGAGCCCCGCAUCGGGCU